AGGGUUUGAUUCUGGCUCAGGAUGAACGCUAGCGGCAGGCUUAACACAUGCAAGUCGAGGGGCAGCAUAAUGGAUAGCAAUAUCUAUGGUGGCGACCGGCGCACGGGUGCGUAACGCGUAUGCAACCUACCUUUAACAGGGGGAUAACACUGAGAAAUUGGUACUAAUACCCCAUAAUAUCAUAGAAGGCAUCUUUUAUGGUUGAAAAUUCCGAUGGUUAGAGAUGGGCAUGCGUUGUAUUAGCUAGUUGGUGGGGUAACGGCUCACCAAGGCGACGAUACAUAGGGGGACUGAGAGGUUAACCCCCCACACUGGUACUGAGACACGGACCAG
rnacentral:rRNA from 1 species